rnacentral:rRNA from 1 species
GACGAACGCUGGCGGCGUGCUUAACACAUGCAAGUCGAACGGAAAGGCCCUGCUUUUGUGGGGUGCUCGAGUGGCGAACGGGUGAGUAACACGUGAGUAACCUGCCCUUGACUUUGGGAUAACUUCAGGAAACUGGGGCUAAUACCGGAUAGGAGCUCCUGCUGCAUGGUGGGGGUUGGAAAGUUUCGGCGGUUGGGAUGGACUCGCGGCUUAUCAGCUUGUUGGUGGGGUAGUGGCUUACCAAGGCUUUGACGGGUAGCCGGCCUGAGAGGGUGACCGGCCACAUUGGGACUGAGAUACGGCCCAGACUCCUACGGGAGGCAGCAGUGGGGAAUAUUGCACAAUGGGCGGAAGCCUGAUGCAGCAACGCCGCGUGCGGGAUGACGGCCUUCGGGUUGUAAACCGCUUUCGCCUGUGACGAGGCGUGAGUGACGGUAAUGGGUAAAGAAGCACCGGCUAACUACGUG